AGGUUGUUCAUGGCUCAGGAUGACGGCUGGCGGCGUGCUUAACACAUGCAAGUCGAGCGAAGCAGUUAAGAAGAUUCUUCGGAUGAUUCUUAACUGACUGAGCGGCGGACGGGUGAGUAACGCGUGGGUGACCUGCCCCAUACCGGGGGAUAACAGCUGGAAACGGCUGCUAAUACCGCAUAAGCGCACAGAGCUGCAUGGCUCGGUGUGAAAAACUCCGGUGGUAUGGGAUGGGCCCGCGUCUGAUUAGGCAGUUGGCGGGGUAACGGCCCACCAAACCGACGAUCAGUAGCCGGCGUGAGAGGGCGACCGGCCACAUUGGGACUGAGACACGGCCCAAACUCCUACGGGAGGCAGCAGUGGGGAAUAUUGCACAAUGGGGGAAACCCUGAUGCAGCGACGCCGCGUGAGCGAAGAAGUAUUUCGGUAUGUAAAGCUCUAUCAGCAGGGAAGAUAAUGACGGUACCUGACUAAGAAGCCCCGGCUAACUACGUGCCAGCAGCCGCGGUAAUACGUAGGGGGCAAGCGUUAUCUGGAUUUACUGGGUGUAAAGGGAGCGUAGACGGCAAGGCAAGUCUGAUGUGAAAACCCAGGGCUUUCCCCCUGGCAGUAGCAUUCGAAACUGUCUGGCUCGAGUGUCGGAGAGGUAAGGGGAAUUCACUAGUGUAGCGGUGAAAUGCGUAGAAUAUUAAGGAAAGAACGCCCAGGAGCGAAGGCGGGGCUUACUGGACGGUAAUGGACGUUUGAAGGCUCGAAAGCGGUGGGGAGGCAAACCAGGAUUAGGAUACCCUGGUAGUCCAGGCCGUAAACGAUGAAUGCUAGGUGUUGGGGAGCAAAGCUCUUCGGUGCCGCCGCAAACGCAUUAAGCAUUUCCACCUGGGGAGUACGUUCGCAAGAAUGAAACUCAAAGGAAUUGACGGGGACCCGCACAUGCGGUGGAGCAUGUGGUUUAAUUCGAAGCAACGCGAAGAACCUUACCAGGUCUUGACAUCCCGAUGACCGGCCCGUAACGGGGCCUUCUCUUCGGAGCAUUGGAGACAGGUGGUGCAUGGUUGUCGUCAGCUCGUGUCGUGAGAUGUUGGGUUAAGUCCCGCAACGAGCGCAACCCUUAUCCUCAGUAGCCAGCAGGUCAAGCUGGGCACUCUGUGGAGACUGCCAGGGAUAACCUGGAGGAAGGUGGGGAUGACGUCAAAUCAUCAUGCCCCUUAUGAUCUGGGCUACACA
rnacentral:rRNA from 1 species